rnacentral:rRNA from 1 species
AUUGAACGCUGGCGGCAGGCCUAACACAUGCAAGUCGAACGGUAACAGGAAGAAGCUUGCUUCUUUGCUGACGAGUGGCGGACGGGUGAGUAAUGUCUGGGAAACUGCCUGAUGGAGGGGGAUAACUACUGGAAACGGUAGCUAAUACCGCAUAACGUCGCAAGACCAAAGAGGGGGACCUUCGGGCCUCUUGCCAUCGGAUGUGCCCAGAUGGGAUUAGCUAGUAGGUGGGGUAACGGCUCACCUAGGCGACGAUCCCUAGCUGGUCUGAGAGGAUGACCAGCCACGCUGGAACUGAGACACGGUCCAGACUCCUACGGGAGGCAGCAGUGGGGAAUAUUGCACAAGGGGCGCGAGCCUGAUGCAGACAUGCCGCAUGUAUGAAGAAGGCGUUCGGGUUGUAAAGUACUUUCAGCGGGGAGGAAGGGAGUAAAGUUAAUACCUUUGCUCAUUGACGUUACCCGCAGAAGAAACACCGGCUAACUCCGUG